CCCUUAGAUGUUCUGGGCCGCACGCGCGCUACACUGAUGAGUUCAUCGAGUAUACAACCUUGACUGAGAAGUUUGGGUAAUCUUGUCAAAGCUCAUCGUGCUGGGGAUAGAUUAUUGUAAUUAUUAAUCUUCAACGAGGAAUUCCUAGUAAACGCGAGUCAUCAACUCGCAUUGAUUACGUCCCUGCCCUUUGUACACACCGCCCGUCGCUACUACCGAUUGAAUGGUUUAGUGAGUUUUAGGGAUUGCGGUUACUGGUGCUUCGGUAUUCAGUAAUUACGAGAACUAAUGCAAACUUGAUCAUUUAGAGGAAGUAAAAGUCGUAACA
rnacentral:rRNA from 1 species